rnacentral:misc_RNA from 1 species
UUCAGUCUGUGGAGACGUAUCGUUCGUCGUUCGCUGUUCGCCGUUCGCUCGCCGUCACCGGUCCGCAUCGUCCCGUUCAUCAUCCGCGUCAUUCGGUAUACGUCAAAACGCCACGCCGCGAUUCGUUCGAGGUAGAUCGAGGUGUCGUCCGUUGUCGCUCGUGAUUAAGUGUCUGCGGAUCAGUGUGUGUCGUGUACCACCAACCUGAUUAAGUGUCACCGGACUAACGGAGUGCUUCGCUCCACGAGGGAGGGAUCGGAGUAAUCGGAGCGAACCGGAGAAGACCUUCUCAACCCCCAAGCUGUCCCGAGACGCGCACGAUUUUCCCCGGCUGUGAUGCUGCGGUCGGCGGAUCACCUUCUUCUGCAUCCGAGCGGCGAGAUCGCGCUCCGAUUAUGAUGUGAGCUACUGAAGGUGGGAUUCUCAGGAACCGCGAGGUCCUCGCAAUGGAGGCGGGACCGAAACAGCAGCAGCAGCAGCCGCCGCAACAACAGCAGCCUCAGCAACAACAACAGCAACAGCAGUCGCCUCAGCAACAACAGCAACAGCAGCAACAGAAUUCACCCAGCAGCAUUCAGUCAGCUCAGAGCCAGACAGUCGUCGGUUCUCAAGGUGGAGCAACGCAAGGUCAAGGUCAGCAGCAGAAUGCGGAGGACGCGCUUGCGGCGGCGGAGAACACCCCCGUCAGCGAGGGUGUGCUCCUCGCUCGGAUCCACGUGCCCGAGCUGUACGUCAGCAAGUGUCUGCAGUUCCCGAAGGAUCAGCUGGUCUGGGACGUGAAGCAGCAAUGUCUUGCGUCCUUGCCCAAGGAGGUGGCCACUUGGUACAGGGAGCUGAAGGAGAGCUUCAAUUACGGCCUCUUCUGCCCGCCGGUGAAUGGAAAAGCCGGAAAAUUCCUGGACGAGGAACGCCGUCUCGGCGAUUAUCCUUUCAAUGGACCCGUCGGGUAUCUGGAGCUUAAAUAUAAGAGGCGAGUUUACAAGAUGCUGCAUUUGGAUGAGAAACAGCUCAAGGCUAUGCACACUAGGACGAAUUUACGAAGGUUAUUGGAUUAUGUGCAAAGCAGUCAGGUCGAGAAGAUCGCGAAAAUGUGCAGCAAGGGGCUGGAUCCUAAUUUCCAUUGUCAGGAAACAGGAGAGACGCCUUUGACCUUGGCAACGACCUUGAAAAAACCAUCCAAGGUUAUAAUUGCAUUGGUCAAUGGCGGUGCUCUCUUGGACUAUCGAACGAAAGAGGGCUUGACAGCGAUGCACCGUGCUGUUGAACGGAACAGUUUGGAGGCGGUGAAGACGCUUCUGGAACUGGGUGCUAGUCCAAAUUACAAGGAUACCAAGGGCUUGACGCCGCUUUAUUACAGUGUCAUUUACAAGACCGAUCCGAUGCUCUGCGAGACGUUGCUUCACGAUCAUGCGACGAUAGGAGCUCAGGAUCUUCAGGGCUGGCAGGAAGUUCAUCAGGCAUGUCGCAACAAUCUGGUGCAGCAUCUGGACCACCUGCUUUUCUACGGCGCUGACAUGAACGCGCGCAACGCGUCCGGUAACACGCCGUUGCACGUGUGUGCGGUGAAUAACACGGACGCCUCGUGCAUACGUCAGCUACUCUUCAGGGGCGCGCAGAAGGACGCGCUCAACUACGCGAACCAAACACCGUACCAAGUCGCCGUGAUCGCGGGCAACAUGGAGCUCGCCGAAGUCAUCAAGAACUAUCAAUCGGAGGAAGUUGUACCAUUUAAAGGACCGCCACGCUACAACCCGAAACGACGCUCGGUGGCCUUCAGUGGCACUUCUUCAAUGAUGACGACGAGCUGCUCAGCGAGCAAUUUGGGCACCCUCACCAGGAUACCAUCCACCGAACAGCACGCGAUGAUGUCUAGCACCGGUGGUAGUACCACUGGUACCCUUACCAGAACCAUCUCAGUGGAACAGUACUCGAGUAUCACGCGAGUACCUUCCGCCGAGCAAUACGCUACCACCGCAGCAGUGACCGUGAGUCUUAACCGAGUACCGUCCACGGAACAACCGUAUCCACCACCUCCGUCGUCUGGCAUACUUGUUCGGGUCGCGUCUGAGGAGAAAUACGCGCCGCCUGGUGCUAUGCUUAACAGAGCCUCAUCCGGCGAGCGAUACGAUGCCACCCUGAUCAGAGUACCGUCCUCCGAGCAAUACCCGACCACUAAUACGCUGAUCAGAGUACCGUCCACGGAGCAGUACCCAACCGCCGCGGUGGGCCUGACCAGAGUACCGUCCACGGAACAAUAUCCCUCCACCGGUGGUGGGAUCACGAUCGUCGGUCAGACGACCGAAUCGAGCCACCAUGGAAGCCUCGGCAGAGUACCGUCCGUAGAAUCGAGCAGAAACGAUUUACCGAGAAUACCGUCCGAACAGAACGGCCACCGACUGACGUCGGAGUACCAGAGUCCAAAUUCCUUGAGAGAUCCUAACGUGAGAUUGCCGAGCGCCGCGGAGAAUUAUUCGAACUUGAGAAUGGAGGGUCUGACGAGGCUGCAAGAGCACCGACUCGAGCUGCAGCAUCGCCUCGAUAUGCAUAGAUCGCAGAUGGAGAUGCCGCCAUCGCCGUCACCGAGCAGUAGGAGUUUAGCACCUUUCAGCUCGGCCAGCUCGAGCUUGUCCGAAGGCAGCAAUCAGCCGUCCGGCGAAGACUCGGCCAGCAUCGUCACAGACAAGAGCCUCGGCGACACGGCGUCUGACGUGAUCAGCGACAGUUCCGGGGUGGGAACCUCGCAGUCCGACACGACCAAUUCAUUAUCCAUUCCCGGCACGACGGUGGUCUGCGUGGAGAACUACAGCAGCGGGAUCACCGGCCAUCUGACUAUCAAUCAAGGAGACAUCCUUGAAGUCACCGGUGCGACCGACUGCGGCCUCCUGGAGGGGGUCUUACGCGGACAGGGUACUGGUCUAUUCCCUGCGCAUUGCGUUCAAGAAGUUCGGCUGCGCCACACGAAUAUACCUCUGGGUCCACAACCUGCCAGGGACGGACGAAAUCGAGUUUUAGGCCGCAGAGAAUCGCAACACAAGUACUUCGCUACCGCACCUAGAUUAAAGAAACCUGUCACGUCGGAGCCCCGCACUGUUGUUCUUCAUCGUUCGAGGAAAGGUUUCGGCUUCGUGUUGCGUGGCGCCAAGGCUACUUCGCCACUAAUGGAACUCACGCCGUCAGCCAAAUAUCCAGCAUUACAAUAUCUGGAUGAUGUCGAUCAAGGAGGUGUAGCUGACUUAGCAGGUCUCCGAAAAGGAGAUUUUCUCAUUCAAAUCAAUGGCGAAGACGUAACGACGGCUUCGCAUGAACACGUGGUCGAUCUGAUAAGGAAAUCGGGAGAGUUGGUGCGAAUGACCGUGGUCUCGCCGGUGAUCAGUCUUCCGAAUUCUCAGUCGGCGGCCGCAUUGCCAACUAGUCAACCGAUUCAGAGACAAUAUGCAACCUUGCCGCGCAAGGGUAAUAACAACGUAGUGAUCGGCGGUACGCUUGGCAGGUCUCCAGCUCCUGUACCGCCUCGAAGAGAUCCGAAGACAACGCUAAGCGUGGGACGAGCGAGAGCGCGAUCAAUGGUCGCAGGAUUAGAAGGAGGAGGCGAAAGGGACGAUCGCGACGAGAUAGCAUCGACUGGUGCGAAGUCAAGUAGUGCGGAAUCGAUUCACAUGCCGCAGCAGCCAUCAACUGGACCGAACACCGGUCAGAACACACCAGUACAACCGAGAACAGCCAGCAUUCGAUCACGUCCGACCUCCAGCAGAAUCACUGCCGCGGAACUUGAAGAACUAUUUCAGCGACAGCAGGGUAGCGCCGGUGGUCAAUACAGUUCGUCCAUGAUGAGCUCCUCUCACUUUCAGACUACUACUGGUCAGUCCACCAAGUCGCAUCCGUCGUCGCCUGCCAAGACCGGCAGGGUAUACGCGAGCGUGGCGGAGAUGAAGCGCAAGGGCAAAUCGCAAUCAAGAGUACGCUUCUUUGGUGGCUUGGGCGGCGGUUCCGAUCUUCACAGGGACUUCCAUAGCACACCGGAUCUCAACGUGCAAGCGCAAUCGUCGUCCCUUCUAGCGCCCAAGUGUCAUAGAAGUCAAGAAGACGUAAAUGCUCUAAACGGUAGAAAUGGGCUUCCACCUCCGAAUCAUCCGCCGCCACCUCCGCCGGUCGGGCAAGUCGUCAAGGUAAAUGUUGGCGCAAACGUGCCAGACGUCGUUACACCAGCCUCGGUUUACGAUAAUAUGGCACACAUCCAGCAAGUCAAAGAACUCGCAGCAGCUGCAGUCGAUGGUGUUUAUGGAGUGAUGUCGAGUUUUCGGCCGUCGAAUAGCGCAAAACUGUACGCCUCGCCGGAAGAUAUGAAGACUGUUGGAUAUCGCUCGCGUAGUCUACCGGCUAAUCGUCCACAUCUGAGAAAGUCUCACAGUCUACGCGGCACACCGAGCAGCACGACAUUCAAGUCGACCGGCAGCCAACAGGCACUGAAUACCAAUAUCAAUAUGAACAAUAACGGAAACAGUAAUAAUUCGGUCAACAAUCAGUACGCGCAACCGUUGAAGACCACCAGGAGUCACAGCACGGCUGGUAUUCGUGAGCGAAAGAAGAAGACUGUCGUGAACACCAGCUCGUCCGUCACAAAUCUUUCGUCGAUCGCGUCCGGCGCGAAUGGAGCACCCACACCACCUUCCUCGGCGCCGCCAAUCCCCGAGCCAGAUUACAGUCUGUCGGAGUCGGAAAAUGAUGAAGGCGAAGAUGAAACGGAUGAAGAUGGCGAAUCGGAGAUUGCGAAGGAACUAGAGAAGGCGGCGGCACGAGAGAAGCUGGAAGCAACGCGAGAAACGUCCGGCAACUCCAACACAUCUGGCUCGAGUUCAUCGGGCAGUGGUUCGCUACCACAUUCGUUUAGUGUCGAGGAGAUUCAGAAAGUGCGCACGCAGUUAAAAUCGUCCAAGAGUCAUCCGAACGAUUUUCUCUUACAGCAAACACAGCAAUCGCUCGUCGAGGACGGUGACAAUAGCUCGAGCGGCGUCAGCUCAGAUCAAGAUGUGCCGGUGGGUCCACCGAUGGGCUUCGACGACACCGCUGCACGGAAUCUGGCUAAUCAGGAGAGCAACCAGCACUCGAUGCCGGGAGGCACUCUGCUAACCGGCGCCAACCCGAUCGAAAAGGAAAGCAAUCAGACCAAACGAUCAGGCUAUGGUGGCAGCGGUUUGCUGACCAGGCACGCAGUCAGCCUGGCGCAAUUACCGCCUCCGAUCGAAGCUGAUGCUGAAGAGCAGAACAAUGAUCUCUUCGUACCGCCGCCGCCGGAAUUCAACGCCGGUCCGUCUGCCGGUGGCCAAGACCAGGAAGUGGUGGUGUUCGCACCUCCGCCGCAGUUCUGCGAUAACAAACAGCAAACACAACAGCAGCAGCAGACAAUGGCGCAGAAUCGUGUCAAGAUAAUCGGCGCGAUUCCCAAGGUUGCCGGGAAUCAGGUGAAGGCGUCGGGCGGUCGAUUACCGUAGAGAGAAAACCACAGAUCGUAGGACGAAUGAUUUAUUCGUAUAUUACUUCCUGUUGGGCGAGCAGAAGAAAAUUUUUAACACAUACAUCGCGAUUUCGAAGUCAAUAUAUUUAGAGGCUCUCCGCCUUUUCGAUAGUGAUCACCGCGCAACGGGCGCACUAAAUUUAGACUAAACCGCGACGAUCCGCGCGAGCGUAUAUAAAGCGCGAUCGCUUGGACUUUUUUCCAAGAGUAAAUUGUAUUCUAAUCGAGCGUCUAGGAGUCGUAGGAAGUAUACCGAGAAAAUAAUUGAGCGCGUUUUUACCAAGUAAGUUUAACGAGUGUGAGCGUACGUUCGACGUUGCACUACAAUAGAGGAUUGGUUUGUCACACAUGAACGCACGGUCGAUUAUAAAUUUGUCCAUCACCAGCCUGUUCGUGAGUGAGUCGACAGAUCCGCAAACCGAUUCGCUGCGUCGUAGAGAGAACGUGAGCGGCCUAAGGGCACGAAAGAGCGGAUAUAUACAUUCUGACGAAAGAAGACGAACAGUUGAGAUGGAGAUAGAAAGGAAAUGCAUUUGAUGCGUGUACGCGUGCGUGAGUUGUGAAUGUGCAAUGCAUAUCGGUUUGUUUUUCAUGUUUCUAUCGAACUACGAGGUGUUUUAAUACUUUUACACGACACGACACGACACUCUUCGCUCCGAGAAACAUAGAACUGUUGAGACAAUUUUUGCAAAUCGCCGCUUCUAAACCAAUUUUAAGCAAAAGCACUACAGCAGUCUCGCUUACUCUCGAUCCCCCUCUAAUCCGACGAAGUAUCGACGGUGACGAUUUCAGUGACGAUGCGCGAUUUCAGCGCGAAAAUCACAUAACUGAUUAGUUGUUAAUUGAACAAACGCGGUUUUUUAGUUUCUCUCGUGUCUAGACACUGCUCAAACGCCUAAUCACAAAGCUCUACUCGCGAAGUCAUUAGAGAUUCUUCCUAGUUUAUAAUUGCAAAUAUUAUUAAUAUUAGUAUUAUGAUUUUAUUAUUAUAUUAAUAUUAUUGUUAGAACAUUGUUAUUAUAAUUAUACGGCGACUAUAACGCUCCACUGAUGAAUCCUUCGAGAAAGCGUAGUCGCGUGACAAAAGGAUGUGCAGCACUAUACUUCGUUAUAAUGCAUCAUCAUUACUCCUAGCUUGUGUAAAGUAAGUCGUACUCUUUCCAUCCACGUGAAAAGCUUCCUUGAGCCGGAAAACUUUUUGUUCAUACAUCAUUGUCGAAUAUGAAUACAAAUCAAAAUCGUGCGGGCGAGAUAUCUUUCGCAAGCAUGAAAUUGAUGAAGCUCUUUAAUGAUUGGAUUGGAUUCUCUUCGCACAAGCGCGCGGUCCAAAAUCUUCUUGCAAAUUAAUUGCAAAUAUUUACACACACACACAUACACACACACACACACACACACACACACACACACACACACACACAUACACACGACGUGCAACACAGGGCUGUUCCCUACAUGUGACGAGGAUUAAUCGGCCACGGAAAAUUCGAGACAUGAUGUCUCGGAUGUUGUGGAAAUACCGUUAAAAUCACCGGUUCGCAAGAUUGCGAUCUCAACGUGAAGACUAAAACACACCGCAACGUGAAACGCAAUUUCGCAAUUUUUAAUGGUUCUAUCGGAUUAGUUAAUUUCUUCUGGAGAGCUCUCUCUUUCUCUCUCUCUCUCUCUUUCUCUCUCUUUCUCUUAUUCUCGGGUUCAACUCCCGUUACCGAUUAAUUCGCGUCACGUGGGGAACGCAACAUGUGCGAUACAGAGUGUCUCGAAAAAGAAAAAAGAUUUUAUUACUUGCCUGCGGGAAAUUUUAAUAAGUAAGUAUUCAAUGUUAAGUAGUAAAAUCGCGAACGAGCAAAUGCUAAUGAAUAUAAACAAUCGAUAUAUUGGUUUUGUAUCAUUCGUGCUACGAUCCGCUCGAUGAUACUCCAAAUAUUUGUUAUAUCCACUAUUUAAUCUUCCUGACGAAACUUUCGGUAAGAAAGAAUCGGCGAACAUUUUAUGAAGGGAUAUAUUCGUACGUGCAUUUCUCAUGACACUCUGUACACCAUGCUCUGAUGUGAGAACGGCAAGUGCCAAGGAGAGCCAUUGAGAGCCGUAGCUCGAUAAUCGUACUGCGAUCGACUGAAUUUUUGGACCCACUCUUUAUUAUCAUCUAGCAUUCCUACGUUUAAUCUCGCUCCCCUGCUCAUCCUCUUCCUGUCCUCCAUCUUCAUAUUUCAGUUAUCACUAUCAUUAAUAUUAUUAUCAAGCAAUUACUAUUAGUAUUUUGUAUUAUAGGUAUUGUAUUGUAAAUUGCAAAGUACGUGCAAUGUUUCGACGAUGAAUAAUAAUCAAUCAUGUUCAACUAA